GUGCUCGCUUUGGCAGCACGCACACUAAAAUUGGAAAGAUACAGAGAAAAUUAGCAUGUCCCUGCACAAGGAUGACACGCAAAUUCGUGAAGUGUUCCAUUUUUUC